rnacentral:tRNA from 1 species
AAGGCUUUAAGUUAAGUAAACUAAUAUCCUUCAAAGCUAUAAAUAAAGAAUUAUCUUUAAGCCUUA